GAUAACUCACACCGGAAUCGGCCCGAGCCCCAAGUAAUACAUUUGGGCCAGAUAACUCACACCGGAAUCAUCCCGAGCUCAAUCCCCACAUCCCAGCCAUAAGUAAUACUGCCGAAGGCGGCCCAGGCGUAAGCCGAGUCUGACUCUCAGCCCGAGUGCCCCGACUCUCAGCCGGAAUUGGCCCAGAUCCACUGUGCUAGCUGGGAUGUGACACAGAGACAAGCCAGCCAUCUCCUGCACAACAAGUUCGUGGUCAUCCUCAGGGGGAGUUAUCCUUUGAACAGGACAGUCUGGUUGAGGGGUGCCGCGAGGUGCGUCAGUUCCGCUCGGACCUCCACCCGGUGAGGUUCUACUUCCUGACACGUCUCUACUCGUACUAUAUGAAGAACAUCCUAGCUGACUUCCGCACCGGCCUCAAACCUGACUUCCUGAUUUGUCGACUCCUGUAUCUGGGACGUCUCCAGGUAUGGUCGAAAAUGGGGUUUCCACAAUACAGAGAGAACCACCGUAAAUGAUUUGAACAGAUCAAAGCCGGCAUGCUUCCAGAAUGUCUCACAGUGUGGAACCUGGUCAUGCCACUGGGCAAGAAGAUCACAUUGGUGGCUUUCAGGUUCCUGAGGUAAAUGGGUGACCAAUCAGAAAGAGAGAAUAUAUUUUUGUUACUGACUGACAUUCGGUAACCAUGGUACUGUAGUCAGUAUGUGAGACUGUAGCAACACACUGAUAGACAAUGAAGCCAUGGAUGCUUUGCAAACUUCAUGAGUCAACUUCACAUCUUCUAAUAUGUUGUUCUUAGUAUGCUGGCAUUUAGGGCUCACAAAGCAAUAACACCAGGAUAAAUAUAUUAUUUUAAAUACUUAUUUUAGUAUUUCCAGUUCUAGAGUCCCCAUAGCCUCUCUGCAUCCUCCCCACCCUCUCCACAGAUUGCACACAUGGGCAUGAUGCUGCGCAAAGUUGUGAUCGGCGCUAAACUUCUACAGCAGCAGGUUAGCGGACUCCUACGCGCUGGACUUGUGGUUCCGCCACAGGCUGCAGGCUAUGUGUACUGUAGUCUGGUGAUGUGUACUGUAGUCUGGUGAUGUGUACUGUAGUCUGGUGAUGUGUA